ACGGAAGGCAGCAGUGGGGAAUAUUGCACAAUGGGCGAAAGCCUGAUGCAGCGACGCCGCGUGAGUGAAGAAGUAUCUCGGUAUGUAAAGCUCUAUCAGCAGGGAAGAAAAUGACGGUACCUGACUAAGUAGCCCCGGCUAACUACGUGCCAGCAGCCGCGGUAAUACGUAGGGGGCAAGCGUUAUCCGGAUUUACUGGGUGUAAAGGGAGCGUAGACGGUUUGGCAAGUCUGAAGUGAAAUGCGGGGGCUCAACUCCUGAACUGCUUUGGAAACUGUCGAACUAGAGUGCAGGAGAGGUAAGUGGAAUUCCUAGUGUAGCGGUGAAAUGCGUAGAUAUUAGGAGGAACACCAGUGGCGAAGGCGGCUUACUGGACUGUAACUGACGUUGAGGCUCGAAAGCGUGGGGAGCAAACAGGAUUAGAUACCCUGGUA
rnacentral:rRNA from 1 species